rnacentral:tRNA from 1 species
GAGUAUGUUUAUUUGGUCGGCUUUGCAAAAGCUGAUUAGGGGUAUUUCCCCAAUACUCU